GAUGAACGCUGACAGAAUGCUUAACACAUGCAAGUCGAUUCGAUUUACCUUCGGGUAUUGAGGAUGGCGGACGGGUGAGUAACGCGUAAGGAACUUGCCUCUUGGACUGGGACAACUGUUGGAAACGACAGCUAAUACCGGAUAUUAUGAGAUUCUCGCAUGGGAAACUUAUGAAAGCUAAUAUGCGCCAAGAGAGAGCCUUGC
rnacentral:rRNA from 1 species